rnacentral:rRNA from 1 species
AUGGAGGAUGUGAUCUACGAGGGUGGGCAUGUCCCUGCCUAUGAUCCCGAGGAGACCCAAAGUCAGGAUGGCCGCGCCCAGUUCAUUGCCGAUGAAGAGGCCGACGACCGUGCUGACUACGACCAUGGUGACUCGUGGCAUGAAGAUGAUGACAUCUAUGUCGAAGGUGACGGUGAUGAAGAAGCAGGCAAUGACAUUGAUAUUAGUGGCAAGCCAUUGUUCAUCGACGAGCUCACCCAAAGAGCGGAAGCACAAAAGAGGAGGAAGAGCAUUCACACGGGUUCAUAUACACAAGAGGAGGACAAGUUGAUUUGCCAAUGUUGGAUGGAGAUUAGCCAAGAUCCGAGGACAGGCGCGCAACAAAAGGGCCUAGUUUUUUGGACGAGAGUCCACAAAACUUUCCAUGAAAGGAAGAUGUUUGAACCCUACCAAAUCACAAGCAACUGUGGCAUCACCUCUGUUCAAAAGAGGUGGUUGUUCAUCCAACAAGAGUGCAACAAGUAUUGCGCCGCAUUUGAGAGCGUUCAAGCACAACCCGUGAGUGGUCUCGGCGUUGGGGACAUGGUAUGCUCUCCUCAUCCUAGUCUUUUUGUAAGUGCAUCUAGUCCCCCUUAG